rnacentral:tRNA from 1 species
GGCGCUAUAGCCAAGUGGUUACGGCGACAGAUUAGAAUCUACUAUUAUCAGAGUCCAAUCUGUUCCUCUUUGAGGGCGCAGGUUCGAAUCCUGCUGGCGUCG